AACGAACGCUGGCGGCAGGCUUAACACAUGCAAGUCGAACGCUCGUAGCAAUACGGGAGUGGCGGACGGGUGAGUAACGCGUGGGAACGUGCCCUGAGGUACGGAAUAACUGCGGGAAACUGCAGCUAAUACCGUAUGAGCCCCGCAAGGGGGAAAGAUUUAUCGCCUUGGGAGCGGCCCGCGUCGGAUUAGCUAGUUGGUGGGGUAACGGCCUACCAAGGCUUCGAUCCGUAGCUGGUCUGAGAGGACGAUCAGCCACACUGGGACUGAGACACGGCCCAGACUCCUACGGGAGGCAGCAGUGGGGAAUCUUGCGCAAUGGGGGCAACCCUGACGCAGCCAUGCCGCGUGAGUGAAGAAGGCCCUCGGGUUGUAAAGCUCUUUUGUCCGGAAAGAAAGCAUCUGGUUAAUACCCGGGUGUUCUGACGGUACCGGAAGAAUAAGCACCGGCUAACUUCGUG
rnacentral:rRNA from 1 species